CAGCAGCCGCGGUAACACGAAGGGUGCAAGCGUUAAUCGGAAUUACUGGGCGUAAAGCGUGCGUAGGCGGUUUGUUAAGUCUGUUGUGAAAUCCCCGGGCUCAACCUGGGAAUGGCAAUGGAUACUGGCAAGCUAGAGUGUGUCAGAGGAUGGUGGAAUUCCCGGUGUAGCGGUGAAAUGCGUAGAGAUCGGGAGGAACAUCAGUGGCGAAGGCGGCCAUCUGGGACAACACUGACGCUGAGGCACGAAAGCGUGGGGAGCAAACAGGAUUAGAUACCCCGGUAGUCCCUGUCUCUUAUAC
rnacentral:rRNA from 1 species